rfam:Triticum aestivum genome assembly, contig: Triticum_aestivum_CS42_TGACv1_scaffold_432944_5DL
CAUGUACUUCUUCCGUUCGGAAUUACUUGUCACAAAAAUGGAUGUAUCUACAACUAAAAUACAUCUAAAUACAUUUAUUUCUUGGACGAGUAAUUCCGAACGGAGGGAGUAUCUC